UACAGAGGGUGCGAGCGUUAAUCGGAAUUACUGGGCGUAAAGGGCGCGUAGGUGGAUAAUUAAGUUGUGUGUGAAAUCCCUGGGCUUAACCUGGGAAUGGCAUAGAAUACUGGUUAUCUAGAGUAAGAUAGAGGGGAGUGGAAUUUCCGGUGUAGCGGUGAAAUGCGUAGAUAUCGGAAGGAACAUCGGUGGCGAAGGCGGCUCCCUGGAUCUAUACUGACGCUGAGGCGGCGAAAAGCGUGGGGAGCAAACAGG
rnacentral:rRNA from 1 species